rfam:Ictidomys tridecemlineatus contig052384, whole genome shotgun sequence.
GGGGUCGUGGCUCAUGGUAGAGCACUUGCCUCUCAUGCAUGAGACCCUGGGUUCGAUCCUCAGCAGCACAA